rnacentral:misc_RNA from 1 species
CAAAUAAAAAGUUCUAUGUGCUGUCCAACACUUUAAUGCAGUUAUAAUAAGCAAAAAGCAGAAUCAAUAACAAAAAAAUGGAAUGGCUGCCUCUGAUACCACCUAUAGGCUAUCGCAACGCUGAUAGAGGAACUAAAUUAUGCACAUUCAUUUGGUAAAAAAUUAUCAAUUCAAUUUCUAUAUUCCGGUGUUUCAUGCUUGUGUUAUUAAAGUUAUUAAGAAAAUUAAUGAAACAUUGCCAGGUAACUGAUACUCAAAAAGUUUAAAAACAGCUAACCAGACCAACUGUAAGUCCACCUAAAGAUAAUACCAAGGAUCCUUGUAGCAAGCACAAUCAGGCCACAAAAUUGAAAGCCACACUGGUAUUUCAAAGUAAAGCUUAAGCCUGUACUUUACUUUGGUCAAAGUGCCUGAUUAAAAAUGACCCUAUGGCAAGUAAAGAUCAGCAAAGAAGCAGAAACAAAGCAACUCAGUUUCAUGACUACGUACUGGCAACCAACCAAACCAAUGGACUUCAACUUGUCACUUGCUAACUUCGAAUUGACUUGAUGACAAAAGAUUAGCAGUCAUUAGGAUGUUUCAGGAAACCCAAAUGGAAUCAGCUCAAUAAACAAAUACAAAUCAUAGUGGAG